rnacentral:rRNA from 1 species
GAACAACGCUGGCGGCGUGCCUAACGCAUGCAAGUCGAGCGGGCACACCCUUCGGGGUGUGUCAGCGGCGGACGGGUGAGGAACACGUGGGCAACCUGCCCCGAAGUGGGGGACAACCCCGGGAAACCGGGGCUGAUACCGCAUAUGUUUGCCCCCUUGUCGGGGGGUAAACAAAGCCGCAAGGCGCUUUGGGAGGGGCCUGCGCCCGAUUAGCUUGUUGGUGGGGUAACGGCCCACCAAGGCGACGAUCGGUAGCUGGUCUGAGAGGACGACCAGCCACAGGGGAACUGAGACACGGUCCCCACACCUACGGGUGGCAGCAGCGAGGGAUUUUCGGCAAUGGGCGAAAGCCUGACCGAGCAACGCCGCGUGCGGGACGACGCCCUUCGGGGUGUAAACCGCUUUUCGGUGGGACGAAACUGACGGUACCACCGGAAUAAGCCUCGGCUAACUACGUGCCAGCAGCCGCUGUAAAAC